CAAAGCAACCACCGCAAUCCCCGGCCCUUGAUCCCGGGCCCAUGAAUCCCAUGCAAGGCCGAGUCCGUGGGCAGUUUUGAUCCAAUAGACAUUUGGAGGUAGUGAUAUACAAAAGGCAAACUCACUUAAACUGAUGGAGUGUCCACAUCUGGAAGAAAAUGUGAAGAUCAAGAGAGACCAAGUCUUGCAGCAUUCCAAGUUGUGGAAAUGUGAAGUGUGCCGCACCACCGACUCGCCCUGGCUGUGCCUGCACUGCGGC